UUCCGGUUGAUCCUGCCGGAGGUCACUGCUAUUGGGAUUCGACUAAGCCAUGCGAGUCGAGAGGGUUCGGCCCUCGGCAGACGGCUCAGUAACACGUGGAUAAUCUGCCCUUAGGUGGAGGAUAACCUCGGGAAACUGAGAAUAAUACUCCAUAGAUCUAGGAUGCUGGAAUGCACUUAGAUUGAAAGUUCCGGCGCCUAAGGAUGAGUCUGCGGACUAUCAGGUAGUAGUCAGGGUAAAGGCCUGACUAGCCUACGACGGAUACGGGUUGUGAGAGCAAUAACCCGGAGACGAUAUCUGAGACACGAUAUCGGGCCCUACGGGGCGCAGCAGGCGCGAAACCUUCACAAUGUGCGAAAGCACGAUGAGGGGAUCCCAAGUGCUUGCUCGUAAGAGUAAGCUGUUUUUAUGUCUAAAAAGCAUAGAGAGUAAGGGCUGGGUAAGACGGGUGCCAGCCGCCGCGGUAAUACCUGCAGCUCAAGUAGUGACCGCUAUUAUUGGGCCUAAAACGUUCGUAGCCGGUUUGGUAAAUGCCUGGGUAAAUCGUGUAGCUUAACUAUACGAAUUCCGGGUAGACUGCCAAACUUGAAACCGGGAGAAGCUAGAGGUACUCCUGGGGUAGAGGUGAAAUUCUGUAAUCCUGGGGGGACCACCAGUGGCGAAGGCGUCUAGCUAGAACGGGUUUGACGGUGAGGAACGAAGCCCUGGGGCGCAAACCGGAUUAGAUACCCGGGUAGUCCAGGGUGUAAACGCUGCUUGCUUGAUGUUAGUUGGGCUCCGAGCCCAAUUAGUGUCGGAGAGAAGUUGUUAAGCAAGCUGCCUGGGAAGUACGAUCGCAAGAUUGAAACUUAAAGGAAUUGGCGGGGGAGCACA
rnacentral:rRNA from 1 species